AUUGAAUUCACUUGUGUUUUUACAGGCACAUGGCCCAUCUCCUACCCACCCCCCCCAGUCCCUGGCUGACCCCGGAAACGUGAGAGCUCCAGAGCAAGUCCUGCGAACUCGGACUCCAGUGAACUUUGAACCGGAAUUGAAAUCAGUGUAAUUUAUCCCCAUUUUACAGCAGGGGAAACUGAGGCACGGACCGGGGCAGUGACUUUGCCCAAGGGGACACAGCGAGUCGGUGGCAGAGCCAGGAGUAGAAUCCAGGAGUCCUGGCUCUUAACCUCCCCUGCUCUAACUGCCACUCCAGGGGGACCUGGGAAGUGCUGUCCAACCGUGGCACCAAGAGAGAGCCCCCGGGGAUGACAGCCCCCACGGUCACUUUUCCCGGGAUCGCUAGGGGAUAGAGUCAGGACAAAAUAGCCACCGCUUUUUUUGUUUCUUGGCGUUCCUGGACCCACAGUACAGUUUUCAAUUUGUUUCCAGGAUAGGAGGGAUAGAUCGGGUAGAGGAUUUUAUUCCUGGCUGCCUAGCGUGCCUGGACGGAGUCAUUUCCAGGGGAAGCUGGCAGAGGAAGGGGUUGCCUUUAUAAAGAAGGUAAAGCAGUGGUUCAAAGCAUUGCAAUGCAAUAACAUUGCUGCAUUUCUGGGGGUCAUAAUACUCGGGCUACCUGGACGGAUGCAAUAUUCCCUAAUGGUCCUAGACCCUGUCGCUUACAGAGGCGUUACUGAAGUGUUCAGGGCUGUUAUAUUGUAGCAUUUUUCCUAUGGGUCACUCUCCGUUAAUGGGACCCGGGGUUAUCCUGCCUUGUGUAAAGUGACCCUCCACACCGCUGCUUCCAGAACUGCUUCUGCAGGCUUGGACGGGGCAAUGGCGAUAGAGUAUGUUGCAGGUUUGUAGAAGGAUUGCUGUCUUGUAGAAGGGUGAUUGGGGUUAGCCAGCCCCAGGAAAAUGAAUUGGGAGUAUACCUGCCUGGAAUGACUCAGCAGGAAAAAACCAGCUAGUCAGCAAGGUCCUUUUCUGUAAGCAAUCACAAGACGUCAAGGUGCAUGCACGUGGCAUGAGCAAAAAGGAGUUAAUGGCAAACUCCCUGCCUGCAGGUUCACCCCAAUCCUAUCACCCUGCACAUGGGGACCAGCUUCCCCUUAUUCUCUGGACCGGCCGACUACUAUCCCUCUCCCUGAACUGGGACAAAGGGAGCAGUACCUGCGCUGACAUUCAGCCUUUAUUCACUAGGAACGGUGUAAUAAUACCAAUGCCUGCUUUUUAAUGUACUGCUUUUCAUCAGUGGAUCACUAAGUGCAGCAGUAUUAUCCCCAUUUUACAGGCGCGUAAACUGAGGUACAGAGAAGUGAAGCGACUUGCCCAGCAUCACCCAGGAGGCCAGAGCAAGGAACAGAAUCCAGUGCUUCUGAGUCCCAAUUGAGUGCACUGUCCACUAGGCCACACUGCCCCCCUGCUCCCUCUCCUACUCCACUUGGUUCUCUGGGUAUAUUCCAAAGACAAGGCAUUUGCUUCUUAUUGAAGCCAUGGUGGCACGAGUCAGCCUCCAGCAGAAGCAAGAGAACAUAAGAAUGGCCAUACUCGUUCAGACCAAUGGUCCAUAUAGCCCAGUAUCCUGUCUUCUGACAGUGGCCAGUGCCCCAGAGGGAGUGAACAGAACAGCCAAUCGUCGAGUUAGCCAUCCCCUGCCAUCAGCUCAAAUGGCAGGUCCCCGUCAGUUCAAACGUCAGAUCCCCGUCAGUUCAAACACUGCUUCUGCCAGUUAUUAUGACCAAGAGCAACCCUGGGGUUCAAAAUAUCCUGGACAGAUAAAGAGGAGGUCAGUAUUGUAAGAAAGCUAGGGUAUAAAACAAACCUUAGUUAAGCAACUGCUUAUCUGAUUCCUCAUACCACCAUUCUCAGGGGUCUUUGAAUUUCAAUUACUUAACUAAAGAAAAGACCCAAGAGUUGAAUUUAGUUUUACAGAGUUUUGUAAAAUAUCCCUAACAACAGUAACUCAUAGUAUAGGAUAUAAGAAGGCAAAAAUGGAUCACUCGAUGAUUAACUGUGAAGCACCUGGCAUUGGCCACUGUUGGAAGACAGGACAUUGGGCUAGAUGGAGCUUUGGUCUGACCCAGUCUGGCCGUUCUUAUGUAUUGGACUAUGACUUGGCUAACAUCAACUAGAAAACUGGUCAAGAUAACCAUUUAGGUUUUCAGAAUCAAAUUACACAACCACAGUAGAACAUAUGCCAGAUACUCAGUCACUUUGGAGGGAGGGUGACUUUGUUUACAUUUUUGACUGAGUCCCUUAGAAUGACCUCACUUGUGCCAGUUGGUUAUCAGCUUUGGGGUUGCUAACAGACUAUAUGAAAAAGAGUCCAAUGCUAGGUCACUGACAGCUUGGUCAGUUCCUGCCAGUUUACCAAGGUCUCCUUCCCAGUGGAUCCAUAGUAUUCAACCCUUCUUACCUGUUUCCCCAUGAAUUAUAUUAGCCUCAGCAUCUAACACUCCUAACUAUCUAAACUAAACUCUUACAUUUAUUACAGACUUAGUGCAGUUCAAAAAGCAUGCACAGCUGGUCUCAUUUUAUGUCUCUACACCCCUAGAACGUGAACGGCAAGGAGUUGACGCUGCAAACAAGGGUGGAGCGAAGGACAGACAGGACUAUAAUCUUUUCCCAGUGCGUUAGUGGGCAACCUGAAUUGCUGGAAAAUAGAACGAGACAGUUAAAGGUGCCUAUCCAAGUACUUGAUGUCACCAGGAUGCCCAGGUGGCUAGCCCAGGACCUCAGUCGUCUCUCUUCCAGGUGUCUUUGGCUUUCAGGAAGUGAUGUGCUGAAGGAGAUAGGCCGUUUUAUCCUGUUUCUGCUGGGUGGUCCAACUUGGUUCUUCUUCUUGGAGGUGCAGGCAUGGACCAAUCAGAUGGUGACCCAUACAUCUUCUGAAGAUUCAAAAUGUCCAACCAAAAUGAGAGCCGUCCUCUCUCACCAAUCCAAUCUGGGAAGGAGACAUCAGCUUUUGAGAUCUUGCAACUGGGAUUGGAAUUUUCCAGUCUGUUUGUGCAACAUAUUUUAUGACACCACCUCGUGUAAGGCAAGGUAGUCCGGAACUGUUGAUAUAACCAUCUUGGAACAUACCUGGAACUCUGGCAGCUUUGCUCCGGUCAGCCACUUACCUCCACAAGUCACUUUUUGUGGGCCCCUUUGUGGUACAUCCCUUGCCCAAGUUUGCAGUAAUGUUUGCUCACGUUGCAGCGUUUCCAUCAGUACCCUGCUAACUGCCGAAAGAGCCAGUUUAAAGUUCAUAUAAUUUAUACAAAUUCUCUCCAUAUUCUUUGAUGCUCUUUAAACAUGUUUUAGCCAUUCUGCAAAGUCACUUCAAGAACUGGCGUUCUCCUUCUGGCUGGAACAACUGUAUAAAUCUUCCAUUUCUGUUCUCCUUGUUCUAACAACAAUGGUGGGACCUUGGUAUGCUUGGCUGAGCUGUGUCUGUGCAUUAUUAACCAAACAUUAUAUUUCUGAUUAUUCCA